UACGGGAGGCAGCAGUGGGGAAUAUUGCACAAUGGGCGAAAGCCUGAUGCAGCUAUGCCGCGUGUAUGAAGAAGGCCUUAGGGUUGUAAAGUACUUUCAUCGGGGAGGAAAAACAAAACUAAUAAUUUUAUUUCUUGACGUUACCCGAAAAAGAAGCACCGGCUAACUCCGUGCCGGCAGCCGCGGUAAUACGGAGGGUGCUAGCGUUAAUCAGAAUUACUGGGCGUAAAGAGCACGUAGGUGGUUUUUUUAAGUUCAGAUGUGAAAUCCCUGGGCUUAACCUAGGAACUGCAUUUUGAAACUGAAAUACUAGAGUAUCGUAGAGGGAGGUAGAAUUCUAGGUGUAGCGGUGAAAUGCGUAGAUAUCUGGAGGAAUACCUGUGGCGAAAGCGGCCUCCUAAACGAAUACUGACACUGAGGUGCGAAAGCGUGGGGAGCAAACAGGGAUUAGAUACC
rnacentral:rRNA from 1 species